GGUUAAGCGACUAAGCGUACACGGUGGAUGCCCUGGCAGUCAGAGGCGAUGAAGGACGUGCUAAUCUGCGAAAAGCGCCGGCGAGGUGAUAUGAACCUUUGACCCGGCGAUGUCCGAAUGGGGAAACCCAGUGCAAUCCGUUGCACUAUCGUUAACUGAAUACAUAGGUUAACGAGGCGAACCGGGGGAACUGAAACAUCUAAGUACCCCGAGGAAAAGAAAUCAACCGAGAUUCCCCCAGUAGCGGCGAGCGAACGGGGAGCAGCCCGGAGUCUGAAUCAGCUUGUGUGUUAGUGGAACGGUCUGGAAAGUCCGACGGUACAGGGUGAUAGUCCCGUACACGAAAGCACACUUGCUGUGAACUCGAAGAGUAGGGCGGGACACGUGGUAUCCUGUCUGAAUAUGGGGGGACCAUCCUCCAAGGCUAAAUACUCCUGACUGACCGAUAGUGAACCAGUACCGUGAGGGAAAGGCGAAAAGAACCCCGGCGAGGGGAGUGAAAAAGAACCUGAAACCGUGUACGUACAAGCAGUGGGAGCCUCUUUAUGGGGUGACUGCGUACCUUUUGUAUAAUGGGUCAGCGACUUAUAUUCUGUAGCAAGGUUAACCGUAUAGGGGAGCCGAAGGGAAACCGAGUCUUAACUGGGCGUUAAGUUGCAGGGUAUAGACCCGAAACCCGGUGAUCUAGCCAUGGGCAGGUUGAAGGUUGGGUAACACUAACUGGAGGACCGAACCGACUAAUGUUGAAAAAUUAGCGGAUGACCUGUGGCUGGGGGUGAAAGGCCAAUCAAACCGGGAGAUAGCUGGUUCUCCCCGAAAGCUAUUUAGGUAGCGCCUCGUGAACUCAUCUUCGGGGGUAGAGCACUGUUUCGGCUAGGGGGCCAUCCCGGCUUACCAACCCGAUGCAAACUACGAAUACCGAAGAAUGUUAUCACGGGAGACACACGGCGGGUGCUAACGUCCGUCGUGAAGAGGGAAACAACCCAGACCGCCAGCUAAGGUCCCAAAGUCAUGGUUAAGUGGGAAACGAUGUGGGAAGGCACAGACAGCCAGGAUGUUGGCUUAGAAGCAGCCAUCAUUUAAAGAAAGCGUAAUAGCUCACUGGUCGAGUCGGCCUGCGCGGAAGAUGUAACGGGGCUAAACCAUGCACCGAAGCUGCGGCAGCGACACUAUGUGUUGUUGGGUAGGGGAGCGUUCUGUAAGCCGUUGAAGGUGUGCUGUGAGGCAUGCUGGAGGUAUCAGAAGUGCGAAUGCUGACAUAAGUAACGAUAAAGCGGGUGAAAAGCCCGCUCGCCGGAAGACCAAGGGUUCCUGUCCAACGUUAAUCGGGGCAGGGUGAGUCGACCCCUAAGGCGAGGCCGAAAGGCGUAGUCGAUGGGAAACAGGUUAAUAUUCCUGUACUUGGUGUUACUGCGAAGGGGGACGGAGAAGGCUAUGUCAGCCGGGCGACGGUUGUCCCGGUUUAAGCAUGUAGGCGGAGGUUCCAGGUAAAUCCGGUACCUUAUUAACGCUGAGGUGUGAUGACGAGGCACUACGGUGCUGAAGUGAUAAAUGCCCUGCUUCCAGGAAAAGCCUCUAAGCAUCAGGUAACACGAAAUCGUACCCCAAACCGACACAGGUGGUCAGGUAGAGAAUACCAAGGCGCUUGAGAGAACUCGGGUGAAGGAACUAGGCAAAAUGGUGCCGUAACUUCGGGAGAAGGCACGCUGAUGUGUAGGUGAAGCCCCUGCGGGCGGAGCUGAAAUCAGUCGAAGAUACCAGCUGGCUGCAACUGUUUAUUAAAAACACAGCACUGUGCAAACACGAAAGUGGACGUAUACGGUGUGACGCCUGCCCGGUGCCGGAAGGUUAAUUGAUGGGGUUAGCGGCAACGCGAAGCUCUUGAUCGAAGCCCCGGUAAACGGCGGCCGUAACUAUAACGGUCCUAAGGUAGCGAAAUUCCUUGUCGGGUAAGUUCCGACCUGCACGAAUGGCGUAAUGAUGGCCAGGCUGUCUCCACCCGAGACUCAGUGAAAUUGAACUCGCUGUGAAGAUGCAGUGUACCCGCGGCAAGACGGAAAGACCCCGUGAACCUUUACUAUAGCUUGACACUGAACACUGGUCCUUGAUGUGUAGGAUAGGUGGGAGGCUUUGAAGCGUGGACGCCAGUCUGCGUGGAGCCAACCUUGAAAUACCACCCUUUAAUGGCUGGUGUUCUAACGUAGACCCGUAAUCCGGGUUGCGGACAGUGUCUGGUGGGUAGUUUGACUGGGGCGGUCUCCUCCCAAAGAGUAACGGAGGAGCACGAAGGUUGGCUAAUCCUGGUCGGACAUCAGGAGGUUAGUGCAAUGGCAUAAGCCAGCUUGACUGCGAGCGUGACGGCGCGAGCAGGUGCGAAAGCAGGUCAUAGUGAUCCGGUGGUUCUGAAUGGAAGGGCCAUCGCUCAACGGAUAAAAGGUACUCCGGGGAUAACAGGCUGAUACCGCCCAAGAGUUCAUAUCGACGGCGGUGUUUGGCACCUCGAUGUCGGCUCAUCACAUCCUGGGGCUGAAGUAGGUCCCAAGGGUAUGGCUGUUCGCCAUUUAAAGUGGUACGCGAGCUGGGUUUAGAACGUCGUGAGACAGUUCGGUCCCUAUCUGCCGUGGGCGCUGGAGAAUUGAGGGGGCUGCUCCUAGUACGAGAGGACCGGAGUGGACGCAUCACUGGUGUUCGGGUUGUCAUGCCAAUGGCACUGCCCGGUAGCUAAAUGCGGAAGAGAUAAGUGCUGAAAGCAUCUAAGCACGAAACUUGCCCCGAGAUGAGUUCUCCCUGAGACUUUAAGUCUCCUGAAGGAACGUUGAAGACGACGACGUUGAUAGGUCGGGUGUGUAAGCGCAGCGAUGCGUUGAGCUAACCGAUACUAAUGAACCGUGAGGCUUAACCUU
rnacentral:rRNA from 1 species